rnacentral:rRNA from 1 species
UACGUAGGAUGCAAGUGUUAUCCGGAAUCACUGGGCGUAAAGCGUCUGUAGGUGGUUUAAUAAGUCAACUGUUAAAUCUUGAGGCUCAACUUCAAAAUCGCAGUCGAAACUAUUAGACUAGAGUAUAGUAGGGGUAAAGGGAAUUUCCAGUGGAGCGGUGAAAUGCGUAGAGAUUGGAAAGAACACCAACGGCGAAAGCACUCUGCUGGGCCGACACUGACACUGAGAGACGAAAGCUAGGGGCGCGAAUGGG